rnacentral:sRNA from 1 species
AGUGGAUUAACAAUGUAAAAGGCUUUACCUAGCGUUCUUAAUAACAAGAUGACAAAGAUGUCAUAGCUCGGGUUGUCCUUAUUUUCCUUUAACCAAGCCGCAAUUUGGGUGGAAGUGA